rfam:Strongyloides venezuelensis genome assembly, scaffold: SVE_scaffold0000040
AUAGAUACGGUGAUAUGUCCCCUCAAACAACAAUAGGGAGAAUUGUUGGUAGUUUAUGUGCUGUAAUGGGAGUCUUAACUAUUGCAUUACCUGUACCAGUUAUUGUUUCCAAU